rnacentral:rRNA from 1 species
GACGAACGCUGGCGGCGUGCUUAACACAUGCAAGUCGAACGGAAAGGCCCUGCUUUUGUGGGGUGCUCGAGUGGCGAACGGGUGAGUAACACGUGAGUAACCUGCCCUUGACUUUGGGAUAACUUCAGGAAACUGGGGCUAAUACCGGAUAGGAGCUCCUGCUGCAUGGUGGGGGUUGGAAAGUUUCGGCGGUUGGGGAUGGACUCGCGGCUUAUCAGCUUGUUGGUGGGGUAGUGGCUUACCAAGGCUUUGACGGGCAGCCGGCCUGAGAGGGUGACCGGCCACAUUGGGACUGAGAUACGGCACAGACUCCUACGGGAGGCAGCAGUGGGGAAUAUUGCACAAUGGGCGGAAGCCUGAUGCAGCAACGCCGCGUGCGGGAUGACGGCCUUCGGGUUGUAAACCGCUUUCGCCUGUGACGAAGCGUGAGUGACGGUAAUGGGUAAAGAAGCACCGGCUAACUACGUG